GACGAACGCUGGCGGCGUGCUUAACACAUGCAAGUCGAGCGGUAAGGCCCUUUCGGGGGUACACGAGCGGCGAACGGGUGAGUAACACGUGGGUGACCUGCCCUCAGCUCUGGGAUAAGCCUGGGAAACCGGGUCUAAUACCGGAUAUGACUCCAUGACGCAUGUUGUGGGGUGGAAAGCCUUGUGCGGCUGAGGAUGGGCCCGCGGCCUAUCAGCUUGUUGGUGGGGUGAUGGCCUACCAAGGCGACGACGGGUAGCCGGCCUGAGAGGGCGACCGGCCACACUGGGACUGAGACACGGCCCGGACUCCUACGGGAGGCAGCAGUGGGGAAUCUUGCGCAAUGGGCGAAAGCCUGACGCAGCGACUCCGCGUGAGGGAUGAC
rnacentral:rRNA from 1 species